GGUCGAUUAGUUCAAUGGCAGAACGUCAGCAUCCUAGUGGCGGUUUGGGGGACGGGAUGGGUUGCAAGGUAAUGCUGGAGAUUCGAGUUCGAUGCUCGAAUCGACCA
rnacentral:tRNA from 1 species